rnacentral:rRNA from 1 species
AACGAACGCUGGCGGCAUGCCUAACACAUGCAAGUCGAACGAGACCUUCGGGUCUAGUGGCGCACGGGUGCGUAACGCGUGGGAACCUGCCCUUAGGUUCGGAAUAACUCCCCGAAAGGGGUGCUAAUACCAGAUAAUGUCUUCGGACCGAAGAUUUAUCGCCUUUGGAUGGGCCCGCGUUGGAUUAGCUAGUUGGUAGGGUAAAAGCCUACCAAGGCGACGAUCCAUAGCUGGUCUGAGAGGAUGGUCAGCCACACUGGGACUGAGACACGGCCCAGACUCCUACGGGAGGCAGCAGUGGGGAAUAUUGGACCAUGGGCGAAAGCCUGAUCCAGCAAUGCCGCGUGAGUGAUGAAGGCAUUAGGGUUGUAAAGCGCUUUUACCCGGGAUGAUAAUGACAGUACCGGGAGAAUAAGCCCCGGCUAACUCCGUG